UUAGCCCCAGGUUCUCAAACAGGUCUUCUGGCCUCACGUGCCCAGCCUUCCCCGGGGUCCCUGCUCCCCGCAGUGCUCCGCAGCAGGACGCGAGGGCAGACCCCCGGCUGGCUUCCGCGGUCCCACCAACGCGCGCCGGGAGUCCCGGGGUCAUGGCUCGGGGCGCGCGAGGUCGCACUGCGCAUUCCGCGCAUUCCCGCCGACCGGUGUUUCGCCGCCACGUGGUCGUCCUGCGCGCCGCGCUUACCGUAAAGUUUGGAGGCGACGCGCAGCAGUGGCUCAGGAGCGCCGGAGGACGCUCCCCAAGACAGAUGGAUCAACGCUUUAGAGUGCUUGCUGAUUUUCCAAGAGGACCGGAUUCCGUUUCCAGCACUCACACGUCAGGCAGCUCCCCCAAACCAGCUCCAGCUCCGGAGGAUCCUACACAUUCUUCUGGACUCUGAGGGUACCCGCACUCUCACACACACAGAUGCCAACACUAAUAAGCAAAUAAAUCGAAUUUAAAGGAUGCCGGGGAGUUGGAAAAGGUUUCUGUGUCUACGGAGGCGACACACAGAGCUGUGCUCCCUGGCCGCCCCCAGGCUGUCCCCAUCUGUGUUGGCUUCUAGACGUUUAGCGCAGUGCUGGAGGGUGGCUAGCGUCUCUUCCGUGCAUUCAUUCACCGCUUAGCUGAAUAUGCAGAGUGAAGGCUGUGGUGCGCCGCCUGUGGUAUGUGGAAUUAAUUAAACGUUUUGGUUCAUAUUCAGAAAGAGAAUUGUUAAAAUGACUUCAUGAUGAAUCAACUCCCUUCCCUUUGCUGACUUCUGAGCUCUUCAUGGGUGUGGGAUUUAAAUCACAGAAGAAAAAAAAAAAACUUAAUUUGGGAAAAAAGAAAAAAACU